rfam:Exophiala dermatitidis NIH/TT8656 unplaced genomic scaffold supercont1.7, whole genome shotgun sequence.
GCGUGAUGAACAAUUUUUAACCCCGAGAACCUGUUCUAUGAAGAACAAAACUACGCAACAACAACACUCUAAUUUUUUACUGAUG